AUGAAUCACUAAACAUCGAAUUCAAUUGCUUUUUAUGCUCCGUUCCACCAUGACUCAGAGUUGCUGGCAAAAAAUGUCAGCAGACAGGCCUAUCCCAAGACGAAAAGAUGAGCAAGGCACGAUGCUCAAUGCUCAUCUUUUGAAUCUCAGCUACAAUCACGUCAAUGGUCAAUGCUCAGACAUGGUUUAAUCAAUUUCAUUGGGGCUAUAUUCAAAUAGGAGAGUUAGGAUUAGGAGCAGUGGCACUGCUAGCAAGGGAUUGGAGAGGCCUUCCUCUUGGCUGUUAAUGUCAUCCACUAAACUAUGUCAAUUUCACUUCUUUUAAUAGAAACUGCAACAAAGUGGCUCUUAGUUUAGCCCCAGAAGCAUUCAUGAUCAAUCCUUCCAGCGGAUAGCGAGGGUUAUACAACCUUCGACCUUCCCUUCUUUCUUGUCUCUCGUUUCUCUAGGCUAUUGGCCUUCACCCUACCGCACCAUUGGUUCCUUUUUGCCCCGUUGGGCAGAAGACAUCUCCCCUUACUCGAUUGUGGGUCUACCCUCACUACCAUCAGGUCUUAAGCUCCCCAGAUUAGGUUCCAAAUGUUGAGUUCUGGUGUUGGAUGGCAUUGGUGGCUCGAGGAGUAAGCCCCAAAGAUACGGGUGUCACUAAGAGCACAUCCCCUCCCUCAUUGGUUUUAUCUUUUCUGGGGGUGUUCUUCUCCUAUCUAAUCUUCUCCCUCUCAGGCAGUUUCCUUGGUUGCAUGUGUUUGGCCGGCCUUUUGCUCCGUUUCUAUGUUCCUAGAGGGUUUUGUGCGUAUGUUAUUUUCUCUCCCCAAUCCUCAAUGUGUUUCACAUGGUCUUUGAGACUACUAUAAAUGGAGAUGCCUUCCUGUUUGCUCCAGCCAGCAUCGUCGGUCGGUUUCUCCAGAAGGGAGCAGAGCAUUGUGUUUGAGCAACCGGAUCUAGUGUUGGAACAACCGGGUUAGGGUUUUUAGGAUUUUGUUUUAUAUGGACUUUCUUUGUGUUGGGCUCUAGAAUUUCUUAUUAUUUUGAAACUCUGGUUGGAUUGUUUUUAUUUUAUCUUGUUUAUAAAUUCCUAUGUUCUCCGAUGCAUUGAGGACUAUGUACUGGCCAGAUCAAAUUUUAAUUGAUUUAUGAAUGAAAUGUUAUCUUAGACU